AAUGGUUCUAAUGAGGGGAAAGGCAUGCUAAGAACAAUUACCCCCCCUUAGAUUAGCUUAGUACUUUAUAUGGUUAACAAAUCUCUUUUACCAAAAUCAUCUCAUUUUAAUUUCAGUCCUCAUCACUGAAAUUCAUGUAAAAAAAGAGCAGGUGUUUUUCCAUCAUCGUUUUGUAGAGGAGGAAUCUAAGGUCAAAACAGGUGAAUGACUUGUUCCUGGUCACAGAACUGGGAGGACCCAGGUCUCCUUGUCUCCAAAUACACUAUUAAAAGUCAAGGAUCAAAGGCCGGACAAGCUUAUCACUGGAGGCAAUUAUUGAAUGAUGAAAAGAAGGAAGGAGGCAAAGAAGAAACGAAGUAAGAAAAGUCUUCCUUUUUAAGGGAUCAGGCUGGCUACACAGCACAUCCAUAUCCUGUAUAUGAGAAUGAGAGCAGAAUAGGGACCACUACAAUUGACUGUCACCCAGUAAGUACUAUGAGCAUAGCAGUUUGGAACUGACAUGGGCCUUGGAGAUCAUAAUAAGCUGUGCGGUUUUGCUUGCUAAGUUACUCAUGCCCACUGCCACAUCAGCUGAUCUGAACUCACAUUCCCAUACACAAACAUUGAAAACAAAUACUUUCUGGACUAAAAAUAAAGUACACAUAAAAGUC